GACGAACGCUGGCGGCGUGCUUAACACAUGCAAGUCGAACGGAAAGGCCCUGCUUUUGUGGGGUGCUCGAGUGGCGAACGGGUGAGUAACACGUGAGUAACCUGCCCUUGACUUUGGGAUAACUUCAGGAAACUGGGGCUAAUACCGGAUAGGAGCUCCUGCUGCAUGGUGGGGGUUGGAAAGUUUCGGCGGGUGGGGAUGGACUCGCAGCUUAUCAGCUUGUUGGUGGGGUAGUGGCUUACAAAGGCUUUGACGGGUAGCCGGCCUGAGAGGGUGACCGGCCACAUUGGGACUGGGAUACGGCCCAGACGCCUACGGGAGGCAGCAGUGGGAAUAUUGCACAAUGGGCGGAAGCCUGAUGCAGCAACGCCGCGUGCGGGAUGACGGCCUUCGGGUUGUAAACCGCUUUCGCCUGUGACGAAGCGUGAGUGACGGUAAUGGGUAAAGAAGCACCGGCUAACUACGUGCCAGCCGCCGCGGUAA
rnacentral:rRNA from 1 species